UGGAGGGCGGGGGAAGAGAGGAGAUGUAGCACUGGGAGGAAGCCUGCUUACCGUUCCAGGAGCAGCCCCACAGCAUCAAAACAGCCGUGCAUCGCUGCAAGAGAGAGAAGAAGCAAAGGACUGUGUGUGUGAGAGCGUACGCACAAUUAAGCUGACACAAAGAUCUCUUCCUGCCGGUAUUCCUUAAUCCCCGAAGUGAAAUCUAUGAGAUGCAAAACCAACACAAAGAGAUGGCGGGGAGCUGGAUGGCAUUUCCACCCUUCCUCAGCCACUGAGAUCAACCAUCACUCCCAUCUCGUCAUCCUAAUGAAGCAUCCUCGCCUAGACAGCAUCUCCAAGGGAAAACAACAGCUGUGGGGGGAGGAUGUGAACCUCACACACUGAAAUAUCCUCUUCUUUUUUAAAUAAACCUCGU
rnacentral:lncRNA from 1 species